AACGAACGCUGGCGGCAUGCCUAACACAUGCAAGUCGAACGACACCUUCGGGUCUAGUUGCUCACGGGUGCGUAACGCGUGGGAACCUGCCCUUAGGCUUGGAAUUACUCCCCGUCGGGGGUGCUAAUACCGGGUAAUUUCUUCGGACCAAAGAUUGAUCGCCUUUGGAGGAGCCCGCGUUGGAUUAGCUUGUUGGUAGUGGAAAAGCCUACCAAGGAGUAGAUCCAUAGCUGGGCUGAGAGAAAGAUCAGCCACGCUGGGAAUGGGAAACGGUCCAGACUACUACAGGAGGCAGCAGUGGGGAAUAUUGGAAGAUGGGCGAAAGGCUGAUCCAGCUAGGCCGCGAGAGUGAUGAAGGCCUGAGGGUUGUAAAGCUGUUUUACCCGGGAUGAUAAUGACAGUACCGGGAGAAUAAGCUCCGGCUAACUUCGUG
rnacentral:rRNA from 1 species